UAAGGCAAGAGAUUUUUUGAAAAUGUAUAGAAAUGUCUCACAGAUACAUUUAAUUUAGAUGGUUGAGAUCAAUCUUCAGUGUAUAUCAACGGCUCUGAAUUAUUUAUUUCCCGCCCAAGCACUUCUCUUCCUUAACCUUCUCACCUACCCACGUCUCUCUCUUCCUCUCUGCUCUCACCCACAUCUCUUCCUUCCUUCUUCGUCUCUCUCCCCCUCUCUGUUUAUUCUUCGACAGAACCCUCUCGACCACCGCCAUCGCGACCACCUCUCUUCUCCCUCGCAGGACCCUGUCUGUUUCCCCUUCUUCAACAGAUCCCUCGACCACCGCCAUCACGACAGCCUCUUCCUCAUCCCCCUUUAUCACUUCAGUCCUCUCCUCCUCGCAACAGAUCUCGCCGAAACCCUCUUUGCCUCUUUGCUACCGAUGCUUGGCAAGACACCGUUAAUGCGAGGCGUUUAAUGGAAUUACAGCUGUAAAAACCCUAGGUCAGCUUUCAGUUUGUUGAUACAUAUACAUAUCUAUAUAAUAAGGCAAGAGAUUUUUUGAAAAUGUAUAGAAAUGUCUCACAGAUACAUUUAAUUUAGAUGGUUGAGAUCAAUCUUCAGUGUAUAUCAACGGCUCUGAAUUAUUUAUUUCCCGCCCAAGCACUUCUCUUCCUUAACCUUCUCACCUACCCACGUCUCUCUCUUCCUCUCUGCUCUCACCCACAUCUCUUCCUUCCUUCUUCGUCUCUCUCCCCCUCUCUGUUUAUUCUUCGACAGAACCCUCUCGACCACCGCCAUCGCGACCACCUCUCUUCUCCCUCGCAGGACCCUGUCUGUUUCUCCUUCUUCAACAGAUCCCUCGACCACCGCCAUCACGACAGCCUCUUCCUCAUCCCCCUUUAUCACUUCAGUCCUCUCCUCCUCGCAACAGAUCUCGCCGAAACCCUCUUUGCCUCUUUGCUACCGAUGCUUGGCAAGACACCGUUAAUGCGAGGCGUUUAAUGGAAUUACAGCUGUAAAAACCCUAGGUCAGCUUUCAGUUUGUUGAUACAUAUACAUAUCUAUAUAAUAAGGCAAGAGAUUUUUUGAAAAUGUAUAGAAAUGUCUCACAGAUACAUUUAAUUUAGAUGGUUGAGAUCAAUCUUCAGUGUAUAUCAACGGCUCUGAAUUAUUUAUUUCCCGCCCAAGCACUUCUCUUCCUUAACCUUCUCACCUACCCACGUCUCUCUCUUCCUCUCUGCUCUCACCCACAUCUCUUCCUUCCUUCUUCGUCUCUCUCCCCCUCUCUGUUUAUUCUUCGACAGAACCCUCUCGACCACCGCCAUCGCGACCACCUCUCUUCUCCCUCGCAGGACCCUGUCUGUUUCUCCUUCUUCAACAGAUCCCUCGACCACCGCCAUCACGACAGCCUCUUCCUCAUCCCCCUUUAUCACUUCAGUCCUCUCCUCCUCGCAACAGAUCUCGCCGAAACCCUCUUUGCCUCUUUGCUACCGAUGCUUGGCAAGACACCGUUAAUGCGAGGCGUUUAAUGGAAUUACAGCUGUAAAAACCCUAGGUCAGCUUUCAGUUUGUUGAUACAUAUACAUAUCUAUAUAAUAAGGCAAGAGAUUUUUUGAAAAUGUAUAGAAAUGUCUCACAGAUACAUUUAAUUUAGAUGGUUGAGAUCAAUCUUCAGUGUAUAUCAACGGCUCUGAAUUAUUUAUUUCCCGCCCAAGCACUUCUCUUCCUUAACCUUCUCACCUACCCACGUCUCUCUCUUCCUCUCUGCUCUCACCCACAUCUCUUCCUUCCUUCUUCGUCUCUCUCCCCCUCUCUGUUUAUUCUUCGACAGAACCCUCUCGACCACCGCCAUCGCGACCACCUCUCUUCUCCCUCGCAGGACCCUGUCUGUUUCUCCUUCUUCAACAGAUCCCUCGACCACCGCCAUCACGACAGCCUCUUCCUCAUCCCCCUUUAUCACUUCAGUCCUCUCCUCCUCGCAACAGAUCUCGCCGAAACCCUCUUUGCCUCUUUGCUACCGAUGCUUGGCAAGACACCGUUAAUGCGAGGCGUUUAAUGGAAUUACAGCUGUAAAAACCCUAGGUCAGCUUUCAGUUUGUUGAUACAUAUACAUAUCUAUAUAAUAAGGCAAGAGAUUUUUUGAAAAUGUAUAGAAAUGUCUCACAGAUACAUUUAAUUUAGAUGGUUGAGAUCAAUCUUCAGUGUAUAUCAACGGCUCUGAAUUAUUUAUUUCCCGCCCAAGCACUUCUCUUCCUUAACCUUCUCACCUACCCACGUCUCUCUCUUCCUCUCUGCUCUCACCCACAUCUCUUCCUUCCUUCUUCGUCUCUCUCCCCCUCUCUGUUUAUUCUUCGACAGAACCCUCUCGACCACCGCCAUCGCGACCACCUCUCUUCUCCCUCGCAGGACCCUGUCUGUUUCUCCUUCUUCAACAGAUCCCUCGACCACCGCCAUCACGACAGCCUCUUCCUCAUCCCCCUUUAUCACUUCAGUCCUCUCCUCCUCGCAACAGAUCUCGCCGAAACCCUCUUUGCCUCUUUGCUACCGAUGCUUGGCAAGACACCGUUAAUGCGAGGCGUUUAAUGGAAUUACAGCUGUAAAAACCCUAGGUCAGCUUUCAGUUUGUUGAUACAUAUACAUAUCUAUAUAAUAAGGCAAGAGAUUUUUUGAAAAUGUAUAGAAAUGUCUCACAGAUACAUUUAAUUUAGAUGGUUGAGAUCAAUCUUCAGUGUAUAUCAACGGCUCUGAAUUAUUUAUUUCCCGCCCAAGCACUUCUCUUCCUUAACCUUCUCACCUACCCACGUCUCUCUCUUCCUCUCUGCUCUCACCCACAUCUCUUCCUUCCUUCUUCGUCUCUCUCCCCCUCUCUGUUUAUUCUUCGACAGAACCCUCUCGACCACCGCCAUCGCGACCACCUCUCUUCUCCCUCGCAGGACCCUGUCUGUUUCUCCUUCUUCAACAGAUCCCUCGACCACCGCCAUCACGACAGCCUCUUCCUCAUCCCCCUUUAUCACUUCAGUCCUCUCCUCCUCGCAACAGAUCUCGCCGAAACCCUCUUUGCCUCUUUGCUACCGAUGCUUGGCAAGACACCGUUAAUGCGAGGCGUUUAAUGGAAUUACAGCUGUAAAAACCCUAGGUCAGCUUUCAGUUUGUUGAUACAUAUACAUAUCUAUAUAAUAAGGCAAGAGAUUUUUUGAAAAUGUAUAGAAAUGUCUCACAGAUACAUUUAAUUUAGAUGGUUGAGAUCAAUCUUCAGUGUAUAUCAACGGCUCUGAAUUAUUUAUUUCCCGCCCAAGCACUUCUCUUCCUUAACCUUCUCACCUACCCACGUCUCUCUCUUCCUCUCUGCUCUCACCCACAUCUCUUCCUUCCUUCUUCGUCUCUCUCCCCCUCUCUGUUUAUUCUUCGACAGAACCCUCUCGACCACCGCCAUCGCGACCACCUCUCUUCUCCCUCGCAGGACCCUGUCUGUUUCUCCUUCUUCAACAGAUCCCUCGACCACCGCCAUCACGACAGCCUCUUCCUCAUCCCCCUUUAUCACUUCAGUCCUCUCCUCCUCGCAACAGAUCUCGCCGAAACCCUCUUUGCCUCUUUGCUACCGAUGCUUGGCAAGACACCGUUAAUGCGAGGCGUUUAAUGGAAUUACAGCUGUAAAAACCCUAGGUCAGCUUUCAGUUUGUUGAUACAUAUACAUAUCUAUAUAAUAAGGCAAGAGAUUUUUUGAAAAUGUAUAGAAAUGUCUCACAGAUACAUUUAAUUUAGAUGGUUGAGAUCAAUCUUCAGUGUAUAUCAACGGCUCUGAAUUAUUUAUUUCCCGCCCAAGCACUUCUCUUCCUUAACCUUCUCACCUACCCACGUCUCUCUCUUCCUCUCUGCUCUCACCCACAUCUCUUCCUUCCUUCUUCGUCUCUCUCCCCCUCUCUGUUUAUUCUUCGACAGAACCCUCUCGACCACCGCCAUCGCGACCACCUCUCUUCUCCCUCGCAGGACCCUGUCUGUUUCUCCUUCUUCAACAGAUCCCUCGACCACCGCCAUCACGACAGCCUCUUCCUCAUCCCCCUUUAUCACUUCAGUCCUCUCCUCCUCGCAACAGAUCUCGCCGAAACCCUCUUUGCCUCUUUGCUACCGAUGCUUGGCAAG